UUAACGGCCGCGGUAUUUUGACCGUGCAAAGGUAGCGCAAUCACUUGUCUUUUAAAUAAAGACCCGUAUGAAUGGCAUAACGAGGGCUUAACUGUCUCCCUUUUCUAGUCAAUGAAAUUGAUCUCCCCGUGCAGAAGCGGGGAUAAGAACAUAAGACGAGAAGACCCUGUGGAGCUUUAAACACCAAAGCAGCCCGUGUUAAAUAGCCUCUCCCAAAAACUAAAACCAAGCGGAAACUGUUUUACUGUUUUUGGUUGGGGCGACCGAGGGGCACUGAUAAACCCCCAUGUAGAACGAGAGUACAACCUCUUUAAAACAAAGAGCCACAGCUCUAAUUUACAGAACUUCUGACUAAAUAUGAUCCGGUACAACCGAUCAGCGAACCGAGUUACCCCAGGGAUAACAGCGCAAUCCUCUUUGAGAGCCCAUAUCGACAAGAGGGUUUACGACCUCGAUGUUGGAUCAGGACCUCCUAAUGGUGCAGCCGCUAUGAAGGGUUCGUUUGUUCAACGAUUAAAGU
rnacentral:rRNA from 1 species